GAUGAACGCUGGCGGCGUGCCUAACACAUGCAAGUCGAACGGACAGACGCUGAGCUUGUUCCUUUGCCGUUAGCGGCGGACGGGCGAGUAACGCGUGGAUCACCUUCUUAUAUUUCUGGGAUAAUCUCGGGACACCGGAUCUAAUACUAGAUCAUAUAAUGAACCGCUUGGUUCAAUAGUGCUUCACGGCUUUGCUGUCUGUAUUAGCUGCUUCCGCGCUGCAUUGGCUAGUUGGUAAGGUCACGGCUUACCAAGGCAACGAUGCGUAUCCGACCUGAGAGGGUGAUCGGCCACACUGGAACUGAGACACGGUCCAGACUCCUACGGGAGGCAGCAGUAGGGAAUCGUCGGCAAUGGGCGGAAGCCUGACGGAGCAAGGCCGCGUGAGUGAAGAAGGUCUUCGGAUCGGAAAGCCCUGUUUUUGGGGAAGAACAGAUGUGGAAGUAAACAUGCACGUCUUGACGGUACCUAAUGAAGAAGCACCGGCUAACUACGUG
rnacentral:rRNA from 1 species